AACGAACGCUGGCGGCAUGCCUAACACAUGCAAGUCGAACGAGACCUUCGGGUCUAGUGGCGCACGGGUGCGUAACGCGUGGGAACCUGCCCUUAGGUUCGGAAUAACUCCCCGAAAGGGGUGCUAAUACCGGAUAAUGUCUUCGGACCAAAGAUUUAUCGCUUUGGAUGGGCCCGCGUUGGAUUUGCUAGUUGGUAGGGUAAAAGCCUACCAAGGCGACGAUCCAUAGCUGGUCUGAGAGGAUGAUCAGCCACACUGGGACUGAGACACGGCCCAGACUCCUACGGGAGGCAGCAGUGGGGAAUAUUGGACAAUGGGCGAAAGCCUGAUCCAGCAAUGCCGCGUGAGUGAUGAAGGCCUUAGGGUUGUAAAGCUCUUUUACCCGGGAUGAUAAUGACAGUACCGGGAGAAUAAGCUCCGGCUAACUCCGUG
rnacentral:rRNA from 1 species